AGGUGGGCACUCCUGAGAUUGCAGAGCGGAAGAGACCACCAACACUGCCCACCCCUGCCCACAUCCCUGGCCCAAGAGGAAACUGUAUACGGCCUCUGGGUUCCUGGAGAUUAGGGCACAGGAGCAGCAGGUCCCCUGCAUCUGAGACACCGCCGGAACCUGAAGGGAUCAACCAGAUAAACAGUUCUCUGCACCCAAAUCCUGUGGGAGAGAGCUAAACCUUCAGAGAGGCAGACACGCCUGGGAAACCAGAAGAGACGGCACUCUGCCCACAUUACUGAUUCCAGAGGAAAACGCCAAACACCAUCUGGAACCCUGGUGCACGGAAGCUCCCGCAAAGGGCAGCACAGAUCUUCCUGGUUGCUGCCCCCACGGAGAGCUCAUAAGCAACACCCCACGAGCAAACUUGAGCCUCGGGACCACAGGUAAGACAAACCUUCCUACUCCAAGCGACCUGCCUGGUGAACUCAAGACACAGGCCCACAGGAACAGCUGAAGACCUGUAGAUAGGAAAAACUACACGCCCGAAAGCAAAACACUCUGUCCCCAUAACUGGCUGAAAGAAAACAGGAAAA
rnacentral:lncRNA from 1 species